AAGCGUUAAUCGGAAUUACUGGGCGUAAAGCGCACGCAGGCGGUCUGUCAAGUCAGAUGUGAAAUCCCCGGGCUUAACCUGGGAACUGCAUUUGAAACUGGCAGGCUAGAGUCUUGUAGAGGGGGGUAGAAUUCCAGGUGUAGCGGUGAAAUGCGUAGAGAUCUGGAGGAAUACCGGUGGCGAAGGCGGCCCCCUGGACAAAGACUGACGCUCAGGUGCGAAAGCGUGGGGAGCAAACAGGAUUAGAUACCCUGGUAGUCCACGCCGUAAACGAUGUCGACUUGGAGGUUGUGCCCUUGAGGCGUGGCUUCCGGAGCUAACGCGUUAAGUCGACCGCCUGGGGAGUACGGCCGCAAGGUUAAAACUCAAA
rnacentral:rRNA from 1 species